CCUACGGGAGGCAGCAGUGAGGAAUAUUGGUCAAUGGACGCAAGUCUGAACCAGCCAUGCCGCGUGCAGGAAGACGGCCCUAUGAGUUGUAAACUGCUUUUGUACGAGGGUAAACGCAGAUACGCGUACCUGUCUGAAAGUAUUGUACGAAUAAGGAUCGGCUAACUCCGUGCCAGCAGCCGCGGUAAUACGGAGGAUUCAAGCGUUAUCCGGAUUUAUUGGGUUUAAAGGGUGCGUAGGCGGUCGGAUAAGUUAGAGGUGAAAUCCCGAGGCUCAACUUCGGAAUUGCAUCUGAUACUGUUAGGCUAGAGAAUAGUUGCGGUAGGCGGAAUGUAUGGUGUAGCGGUGAAAUGCUUAGAGAUCAUACAGAACACCGAUUGCGAAGGCAGCUUACCAAGCUACUUCUGACGUUGAGGCACGAAAGCGUGGGGAGCAAACAGGAUUAGAUACCCCUGUAGUC
rnacentral:rRNA from 1 species